rnacentral:pre_miRNA from 1 species
AUUUAGGGCCUGAUCCAAAGCCCACUGACAUCAAUAGGAGUCUUUCCACUGACUUCUUUAGGCUUUGGAUCAGGCUCUUAUCGU